AGAGUUUGAUCAUGGCUCGGAAUGAACGCUGGCGGCGUGCUUAACACAUGCAAGUCGAACGGUAACAGAAGGAGCUUGCUCCUUGCUGACGAGUGGCGCACGGGUGAGUAAUAUAUAGGUAAUGUGCCCCUUGGACCGGGAUAGCCACUGGAAACGGUGAUUAAUACUGGAUACUCCUUUUCUUCAUAAGAAGAAUCGGGAAAUGGAUUCCGCCAAGGGAUCGGCCUAUAUCCUAUCAGCUAGUUGGUGAGGUAAGAGCUCACCAAGGCGAUGACGGGUAGCGGGUUUGAGAGGAUGAUCCGCCACACUGGUACUGAGACACGGACCAGACUCCUACGGGAGGCAGCAGUGAGGAAUAUUGCACAAUGGGGGCAACCCUGAUGCAGCAACGCCGCGUGGAGGAUGACGCAUUUCGGUGUGUAAACUCCUUUUAUAUGUCAAGAAAAUGACGGUAGCAUAUGAAUAAGCACCGGCUAACUCCGUGCCAGCAGCCGCGGUAAUACGGAGGGUGCAAGCGUUAUUCGGAAUCACUGGGCGCAAAGGACGCGUAGGCGGGUUGGUAAGUCAGAUGUGAAAUCCUACAGCUUAACUGUAGAACUGCAUUUGAAACUACCAACCUAGAGUAUGGGAGGGGCAGAUGGAAUUAGAGGUGU
rnacentral:rRNA from 2 species